CCAAGGCCUUGGGAGCCCAGGCCUCAUACCCUUGUGCUCUGGAUGUGGGAUCUGGAUUCAAAAAAAGGGAUUUGGAACUGUGGGAUUCAAUGACUGGCUGUUGGAUUUUUGACUCCUAUGGGGUUUGUAAGUCCCAUCUGUGUUUUGUGCUUCUUUCUGGCAAAUUUCUUCCUUUUGGCUGGGAAUACUUACCCAAUGCCUGUACAAUCAUUGUACUUUGGAAGUAGUUAACUUGCUUUGUAUUUCAGAAGCUCAGGAGCAGAAGGGACUGCAUCUUUGUCUCAGAUGAGACUUUGGGCUUCAGACAU
rnacentral:lncRNA from 1 species